GCUCGGCAAUGGCGCUUUCCUCUGCAUUCCGCGAACGGCUUGAGCACAUGGAACACAGCAGAAACCAACGUAUCUCUCUGCUUCAGGCCGAGAAAGAAUGGCAAGCGAACAAGUCCCAGGUCUUGGAGUGGAAGCACGCAAACAUCAGGGCCAUGGAACAAAGGUGCUUGGUGUUUGAUCAAAAGAUAGCGGCAGAUAACUUCAAGAUCUCGACACUCAAGUCCGAGAUCGAGAGUCUCGAUGCCAAAGACUGUACCGACUCGCAACAAUUGAGGAUUUUGAGGUGGGAGGUAGAGGAGCUUGGGGAGUUGGAGAAGGAGAGGGAUAAGUUUUACGAAUUGAAGAUUUGUGAGAUGAAGGAAUUCAGUGAAAGUGUGAAGAAGUUCGUCGUGGAAUGUCGAAUGUGUAUUGAGGAAUUGAGGAAUUGCAAAAAAGAGCAGCAGUCAACUAUCACCAAUCUCCAAGGAAACAAUAAAUACUUUAGCAAUUCAGAGAUAGCUGCAGCUGAAAUGAGGAAGUCUGAGCUCAUGGCUGUGAAAGAGAGUUUGGAUAAAAGCAUGGCUUCUAGUUACCGAUUGAGAGCACAGUUGCAAAAGCAGCUCCAGAAUAUGUAGUUGUCCUAACUGCACCAAAUCAAGAGAGAAGGAAAGCGUCUCAGUUGCUGGGAACAAUGGAGUCAAAUAGCUAGUUUUCUCCUCUGAAAUGAUGCAUGUAUGGAGAUUGUCAAGAAGUUGAGAAUGUAGGACUUGAGGCUGAAAGUGUAGAAAAAUAAUGUAAUGUGAAUGGGGAAGAGGGAUUGAAUUUGGAAGAUGGAGUGAAUGUUGAAGAUGGAGUGAGUAUGGAUAAUGGAGUCAAUGUGUUAAACCCAUGUUCGAGUAGUGGGGUCCUAUGGAGCCAUUAAUUGGUAUGGUAUUUGACCACGUGGAAGAUGCCCAAACAUUUUACAAGGCAUAUACAAGACGAAAAGGUUUUGCAAUUCGGACCAACCAUACUCGCUUGUCAAAAUAUGAGAAAAAACUAGUUGCAGUCGACUAUGUUUGUUCAAGGGAAUGAUACUGGCGGGAAAGUUAGAAACAAAAAAAGCGAAUAAUUCCUGA